UCUUGGCAUUAAGAGUGUUUUGUGGUUUUUUUUUUUUCCUCUAGUCUAUAUUUUGAAUUAUGAAACUUUGAUAAUUUCUAGAAAAGGUUAUAUUUCUUUCUAAAGCAGGUACAAGCUUCAAAUUCACAUGUAACCUGUAUGUAUAAAACCACCUUAAAAGAUGUUAUUGUUCCUUCCAGUAGUUUUUUUCUCCAUCUGCACAGAAAAUGUUUUUCCACUUCCAGGCAGACUCUUCUGUUCCUCUCUCUUAUGUACUCAGUCACCUUGUAAAUGCUGAGCAUUAUUGUACAGAAGAAGCUUUUUCACAGACUCCAUGACUUUGACAAUUACUUAUUGUAAUUUUUCCAUCUCUCCUGUCCUUUUUGACAGAUCCUGCAAGAUUAUGUUAUCCAUUAUGUGACCUUCCUACUUGACAUUCCUUUGUCAUUGUUCUGAAUGCGGGCACAAAGAGCUGAGGAAGGCUGGCAUGCCGAGGAGGGGAGAGGCCAGGAUUGUCACCCAGAGCUCCCAGAGCAGGUGUGCCUGGGCAGCUCUGGGCUCCCACACUGCAGCCAAGUUUGUUGUCUUACAGGCUUUCAAGAGGGGUGGCACAAUUCAAGAGAGGAUACUGAUGAAAUCACACUCAAACCUGAGUCUGAACAAGUCAGCAGAGCGCAGCUUUUGGGAGUGAGUCAUGUUAAAACCAAGCAUAUGCUCAAGUGUUUUGCUGGAUCAUGGCCAUAUUGAACUAUAAUGACCUAAAUGGAUUUGCUCCCCAGACAAAUUUACCCUUUGCUUUCCUCCUGCCCACACAUACAUUUGCACCUCAAUCAAUCACUUAUGUCUCCUUCUAUUUCCUGCAUCCUACUUUUAUGAAAAACUUUAUGACUUCUUUAAUCUCUUCUAAGCAUGGCUUUAUUUCCUCUACUGGUUUCCUUGAUAAUUCAUCAUCAGGGCUUUUUUGCCCCUACCUAAAGAUUUUCAAUUUUAGUGUAGAAAUUUAAUAAAAACAAAUUUGUUAAGUAAGACUUGUUAAAGGAACUGUUCCAUCUCUUUGUGCUCUUUUAUCUAAACCCCUUCCUGCCCAUAUAAGGACAAAGGUGUUGAAGAUGCACAUCAGGUAAACUAUUGCCUACAAAUGGCAAAAAUAACAUCUUGAAGCUCUCUUUCUGUGGAUUUUUUUUUUUUCUGACAUGUGGUCUUUAUAUCUAGAAUUAUAGACAUUUAGAUGUCAGGUAGCUAGAGAGAAAAAAAAAAUAGAAGAGAUAUUGUAGCAAAAUAUCAAAGAACUGAUGCAUUGGUGGUAGUUACAAGGUGUUUUAUUUCUCAAGAAGUGCCCAACUUUGUAAAGUUUUUAUCAUACCUGAUAGAAAAUUAAGGGCUGCUGAUAUUUUGCAAUUCAUUAGCCAUUGCUUGUUGAUUACAUAAUUGGUUAUUGAAUGAAGGAGCACUGUGAGGUCCUGUGAGAAGCUAAGCUGACAUGACUUCUGUCUUUCCUUUUUAUAACGAUAGUCAAUAGCUUGGUUGUAAGGAACAGAAUUGCUCUUUGUGACUGUAUUAGACAUUCUUCUGGGAGCUAGCUAAAAUUUGAGAGCAGAAAAGCAGUUCUGGAAAAUAAAGAAACAAAAAAAAAAAAAAAAAAAAAAAAAAACCCAGCAUGCCAGACAAAUCAAUAAGUGGAUGGAGCCGAGUCUGAGACUUUGGGGUUGGGUUAGAACCUAAAUCAAGACACUAUUGACUCUGCAAAGCCUGUAUCUUUAGGGGUGCCUAUAUCAAAAUCAAUAUUGCUUUCCUGCUUUAUUUGAUAACUUCUAUGCCUUUGUGCAAGCAAAUCCAUUUUACAGUUGUAUUUCUUUUCUUGAGCAAAAGUCUUCUCUUUGGUAUGUGUGACCUGUGUACUAUGGCUCUGUGUAAAUUAAAAGGUGGAUUGUGUGUGAUAUCUGUCACCAGUGUUCUCCAAUGAUGACAUUUGCAAAGGAAAUGAAAUAUCUGUAAAUUCUUUGCUGCAUAAUUUAUGCUCAACUCCUAUAUGUGAGUUCUCUACAAGCUGUUCUCC